rnacentral:piRNA from 1 species
UUGGCUUUGCAAGAGCUGUAGUGUCCUCCCA